rnacentral:lncRNA from 1 species
UUACUGAAGGAAUGUUCGAAAGCUGUACAAUACUAUGGCUUCGUUUGAGAUUACGGAAAAAUUACGUUACGUGUGUGAGAAAGUACGUUAGAAAAAUAUCCUGUUUGUUUCCGUACGUCAUAUUGCAUUCCGCAUAUUGAAAUGAGUCUGUUACGAUAUAUUUUCUGCUUCCGUACGUAAUAUUGAGUUCCGCAUAUUGUAAUGAGUCGGUUAUGAUAUAUUUUCUGCGGUCCCACCGGAGAACGCAGAAAUAUAUCUCUAUAUGCUUUUUUAACAGAUUAAUCAUAAUUGUUCGUUCUUAUUUGAAAAUUUUUUAAUUACUUAAUUAUAGUAGGAAAUAUAGGAAAUAUUUUUUUAUUCUUUUUUAAAUUCCGUUUGUCAAAAUUUCGGUACGCUUUUAUAUAUACUAGUUGAGUGUACAUGCAAAUGCACGUAACAAUUAUUUUAAUUUAGAGUUUGCAAUAAAAAUUAUAAUUUAUAAAUUUAUAUAUUAUAUUUUAUUAGAAAAUAUAUGUAAUAUUUUAUAAAAUAUGUAAAAUAAAUGUAAAGAAUGUUAUUUUUUAACAAAUUGAUCAUAAUCAU